ensembl:misc_RNA Y_RNA Y RNA
GGCUGGUCUGAAGGUAGUGAGCUAUCUCACUUGAUUGUUCACAGUCAGUUACAGAUUGAACUCCUUGCUCUCUUCUUUCCCUUUACUGCACUUGACUAGUCUUUA